UGAGGAAUAUUGGGCAAUGCCCGCCAGGGUGACCCAGCAACGCCGCGUGGAGGAUGAAUGUCGUAAGAUUGUAAACUCCUGUUAGAGGGGAAGAAUAGUACCGGUUGGACCGGUAUAUGACUGUACCCUCAGAGAAAGCCCCGGCUAACUACGUGCCAGCAGCCGCGGUAAUACGUAGGGGGCAAGCGUUGUCCGGAUUGACUGGGGGUAAAGGGCGCGCAGGCGGGAUAAAAAGUCAGUGGUGAAAUCCUACAGCUUAACUGUAGAACUGCCUUUGAUACUUUUAUUCUUGAGUUCGGGAGAGAGAGACGGAAUUCCAGGUGUAGUGGUGAAAUACGUAGAUAUCUGGAAGAACACCAGUUGCGAAGGCGGUCUCUUGGUCCGACACUGACGCUGAGGCGCGAAAGCGUGGGGAGCAAACA
rnacentral:rRNA from 1 species